UGGGGAAUUUUGGACAAUGGGCGCAAGCCUGAUCCAGCCAUGCCGCGUGUGGGAAGAAGGCCUUCGGGUUGUAAACCGCUUUUGUCAGGGAAGAAACGCUCUGGGCUAAUACCCUGGGGUAAUGACGGUACCUGAAGAAUAAGCACCGGCUAACUACGUGCCAGCAGCCGCGGUAAUACGUAGGGUGCAAGCGUUAAUCGGAAUUACUGGGCGUAAAGCGUGCGCAGGCGGUUAUGCAAGACAGAUGUGAAAUCCCCGGGCUCAACCUGGGAACUGCAUUUGUGACUGUAUAGCUAGAGUACGGUAGAGGGGGAUGGAAUUCCGCGUGUAGCAGUGAAAUGCGUAGAUAUGCGGAGGAACACCGAUGGCGAAGGCAAUCCCCUGGACCUGUACUGACGCUCAUGCACGAAAGCGUGGGGAGCAAACAGGAUUAGAUACCCUGGUAGUCCCUGAGCGGGC
rnacentral:rRNA from 1 species